rnacentral:rRNA from 1 species
ACUGCCCAGACUCCUACGGGAGGCUGCAGUCGAGGAUCAUUCGCAAUGGGGGGAACCCUGACGAUGCGACGCUGCGUGGAGGAUGAAGGCCCUCGGGUCGUAAACUCCUGUCAUGACGGAAAAGGAGAGGGGACCCAACACGUCCCUCAUUUGAUGGUACGUCAAGAGGAAGAGACGGCUAACUCUGUGCCAGCAGCCGCGGUAAUACAGAGGUCGCGAGCGUUGUUCGGAUUUACUGGGCGUAAAGGGCGCGUAGGCGGCAUGGCGUGUCGGAUGUGAAAUCCCCGGGCUCAACCCGGGAAGUGCGUCCGAAACUGCCAGGCUAGAGUGCGGAAUGGGAGAUCGGAAUGCAGGGUGUAGCGGUGAAAUGCGUUGAUAUCCUGCAGAACACCGGCGGCGAAGGCGGAUCUCUGGUACGCAACUGACGCUCAGGCGCGAAAGUCGGGGGAGCAAACAGGAUUAGAUACCCUGGUAGUCCCGACCUUAAACGGUGCACGCUCGGGGUGGGGGGACUUCAACCCCCCCGUCCCUCAGCUAACGCGUUAAGCGUGCCGCCUGGGGAGUACGGCCGCAAGGUUAAAACUCAAAGAAAUUGACGGGGGCCCGCACAAGCAGAGGAGCAUGCGGAUUAAUUCGAUGCAACGCGAAGAACCUUACCUGGGUUUGACAUGCAGCUGCGCGGCCUAUGAAAGUAGGCCUCCUUCGAGGGUGCUGCACAGGUGCUGCAUGGCUGUCGUCAGUUCGUGCCGUGAGGUGUUUGGUUAAGUCCACCAACGAACGCAACCCCUAUGGACAGUUGCCAGCGGGUGAAGCCGGGAACUCUGUCCACACUGCCCGUUUACGCGGGAGGAGGGUGGGGAUGACGUCAAGUCAGUAUGGCCCUUACAUCCAGGGCUGCACACGUGCUACAAUGGCCGGUACAGAGGGAGCCCAAGCCGCGAGGCGGAGGAAACCCCCCAGAGCCGGCCCCAGUUCAGAUCGGGGUCUGCAACCCGACCCCGUGAAGU